GGAGCGCGGGCGGUGCCCGCAGCCCCGGAGCGGUGCGGCGGUGGCGGCGGUACCCAUGGCCCUGCCGGCGGAGGCGGACCGACUUGAUGGGGGCUGGCAGGAGGUCUACUCUGCGCUCCAGUGGAUCCAGUUCACCAUGGCCAUGCUCAGCGUUGUAGGUUCCAGCUCAAUUAUUGCCUACGCCGUCUUCCAAAACGCAGUGAGGUCCCCUGAGGUGCGUCCACUUUUCUACCUGAGCCUCUCGGAUCUGUUCCUGGGCAUGUGCUGGCUGGCUGGGGCCCUGCUCUACAGCUCACCCCUCUCCCAGCAGGACCUCAUCUGCUACAACCUGCAGGCCACGGGACAGAUAUUCUACCUGGCCUCUUUUCUCUACACUGUCAACUACACCUGGCACCUGUACAUGGACCUCAAGGUGAAAUACAACCAGAACCUCUUCAGGGUGCCCCCCCAGGUCGUAGAUUAUGCAAGUUGUUUUGGCCGAAUAGCAACGAUCUUGUCGAGCUUGAUCCCUUUCCUCCUCAUGGUGCCGGUGUUUUGCCUGGGCAACAGCAGUAAUUGCUACCAGAACUUCAGCCAGAAGCACGGGUGUCUCCUGAUGCACACAGAGAUGGCCGAGCCCCCCACGGAGCCGCAGAGCGCGAGCGGCUCCGUCUGCCGCGCGAUGCAUUUCUACGGCAUCGGCGUCUUCCUCAUCUCCUUCCUCAUCAGCUUCGUGGCCAUCCUGGUUAUCCUGAGUCAGGCCCGAGGUCUGUACAAAAGGUUUGUGAACUCCACAGGAUUCCUGGGGGAUCAGCAGUGGGCCAUGAUUAAGAUGGUGGAACAACGGGUGGUUUUUUACCCCGUCGCCUUCUUCUGCUGCUGGGCCCCAGCUGUCCUCCUUGGAAUGCUGAAACUGACUGCCUCAACAACCAGCAAAAUCUACAUGGCUCUGCUGAUCCUGCAGGCUCUCACCGCAGCUUCCCAGGGGCUCCUGAACUGCCUGGUGUACGGCUGGACCCAGCACGUGUUCCUGUCCCUGAAGCGCGGCUCCCGCCGGGAUGUGGACACCCAGACCCCGCUCCUGCGCUCCCAGAAAAAGUUCUACUCCAGCACGGCGCCCUCCGGCCCGCCCGACACCGAGGGCUCCUCCUCCACCCUGCUGUGAUGCAGCCGUGCCUGGGAGAGAGGCAGAGUCCUUCCAGCUCCUCCUUAUCCAGAGCCGCGAUGGAACUGAUGGAGCUGUCCCUCGAGCCCCAGCAGGGCUGGCACAGCCAGGCGCUCCGUGGACAUAGUUAUUUAUUUCGUGGAUUCUUUCAACGUGGUUAAACCUUUAGUCCAGACUUUCUCCUCCUGGAAAUAUGGCUAGAAAUGCAGCAAACCCCACGUAACGGCUCAGAGACCUGGUCCAGCUCCUUGGAGGUUGGGCAGAGGAUGUUUUGUUUUGUUUCUCCAAGUCGUUGCCUUUACAAAUUAACAGUAAAGCAAAAGGAGUAUUUUUCAAUCUCUGCCUUUUAAUUCACUCUUAACCAUGAGAAUUUGCACCACCCUAAGAACCAUUGCAGGGAGCGAAGAAUUGCAAAGCAGGACAAAACCUGCCUGGAAUUUCUGCACGUUUCUCUUCCCUUCUUCCUGCCAACUCCUGAUCAGCCACAAAACUCCCAAAAAUCAGCUGCUUCGACCCUCUGGAGCAUCUCUCAUGAACCAGGAUCUCAGGCUCUCCUAAAGCAGAAGAGAAGCUCCUUAUCUGCAUAACCCCACAUGAAAAAAGCCCUUCACCCAUCCCAGAGCUCUCCUGCUCCUCUGCAACAUUCCUGACCAAGUAACUGCUGUUCAGACCUUGUCCAUCAUCAGCUGGGCAGAGGGCAGGAUGUUGUCCAGGGCCUCCGUGGAAUUGAGCCAGGGAUGGUCCAACACCCCCUCAAUGGUCAGGCGUUCCUCAGGUUUGACCUUCAGCAGCCUGGGGAGGAAAGAAUAAAUCCCUUAGAAGGGGAUUGUUGAUUUACAGAGCAUUUAAAUGCAUUUUAAAGGUCAAAAAAGAAGCUUCUCCAAGAGCUCAAACUGCCCCAAAAUGAGCCCAAAAAUCUCUCCCAGCUCCCCGACUUUGCUGUGGUCUAAUUCUGUCACAGCUCACCCAGGGCAAUCCAGCACUCAGGGCAAAGGAAGGUGCUAAAGGCAUUCCUGGGAUAGCCCUGUGCUGCUGAAUCCCACAGCUGCUGCUCCCGGGUGGGAAAUCACCCUCCAGAAGAACUGCAAAUCAUCCAGACUGGAAAUGCACUCCCAGAACGGUUACAUUCAUUCCAAGGA